rnacentral:tRNA from 1 species
CGGGCCGUAGUAUAACGGUAGUACGCGCGCAUGGGGUGUGUGUGGCUCGAGUUCGACUCUCGGCGGCCCGA